rnacentral:rRNA from 1 species
GAUGAACGCUAGCUACAGGCUUAACACAUGCAAGUCGAGGGGAAACGAUAUUGGAAGCUUGCUUCUGAUAGGCGUCGACCGGCGCACGGGUGAGUAACGCGUAUCCAACCUGCCCAUCACUUGGGGAUAACCUUGUGAAAGUAAGACUAAUACCCAAUGACGUCUCUAGAAGACAUCUGAAAGAGAUUAAAGAUUUAUCGGUGAUGGAUGGGGAUGCGUCUGAUUAGCUUGUUGGCGGGGUAACGGCCCACCAAGGCGACGAUCAGUAGGGGUUCUGAGAGGAAGGUCCCCCCACAUUGGAACUGAGACACGGUCCAAACUCCUACGGGAGGCGAGCCAGUGAGGAAUAUUGGUCAAUGGACGAGAGUCUGAACCAGCCAAGUAGCGUGCAGGA